UACGGCCACGUCGCGCUGAAACAACGAUUCCCGUACAAUCACCGAAGUUAAGCAACGUCGAUCCUGGUCAGUACCUAGAUGGGUGACCGUUUGGGAAUAUCAGGUGUUGUAA